GACGAACGCUGGCGGCGUGCUUAACACAUGCAAGUCGAACGAAGAGCGAUGGAGGCUUGCUUCUAUCAAUCUUAGUGGCGAACGGGUGAGUAACGCGUAAUCAACCUGCCCUUCAGAGGGGGACAACAGUUGGAAACGACUGCUAAUACCGCAUACGAUCUAAUCUCGGCAUCGAGGAUAGAUGAAAGGUGGCCUCUACAUGUAAGCUAUCACUGAAGGAGGGGAUUGCGUCUGAUUAGCUAGUUGGAGGGGUAACGGCCCAACAAGGCGAUGAUCAGUAGCCGGUUCGAGGAGAUGGACGGCCACAUUGGGACUGAAACACGGCCCAGACUCCUACGGGAGGCAGCAGUGGGGAAACUUCCGAAAUGGAGGAAAAGCUGACGGAGCAACGCCGCGGGAGGGAUGACGGCCGUCGGGUUGGAAAGCUCUGUUAAUCGGGACGAAAGGCCUUCUUGCGAAUAGUGAGAAGGAUUGACGGUACCGGAAUAGAAAGCCACGGCUAACUACGUG
rnacentral:rRNA from 1 species